CUACGGGUUGCUCCAGUCGAGAAUCAUCCGCAAUGGGCGAAAGCCUGACGGUGCGACGCCGCGUGGGGGAUGAAGGCCUUCGGGUUGUAAACUCCUUUCACCCGGGAAGAAAACUCACCCCGUGAAUAACGGGAUGACCUGACGGUACCGGGAGAAGAAGCCCUGGCUAACUCCGUGCCAGCAGCCGCGGUAAUACGGAGAGGGCGAGCGUUGUUCGGAUUUACUGGGCGUAAAGGGCAUGUAGGUGUCCUGAUAAGCUCUGGGUUAAAGCUCUGUGCUUAACACAGAAAUGAAUCAGAGAACUGUCAGGAUUGAGUUCAGAAGAAGAGAGUGGAAUUCUCGGUGUAGCGGUGAAAUGCGUAGAUAUCGAGAAGAACACCAGCGGCGAAGGCGGCUCUCUAUUCUGAAACUGACACUCAAAUGCGAAAGCGUGGGGAGCAAAUGGGAUUAGAUACCCUCGUAGUC
rnacentral:rRNA from 1 species